rnacentral:lncRNA from 1 species
UAUAAAAUAACAUAUCCAGUAGCCUUCAAAUUUUCUUGGAUCAUUAGGAAAUUGUGUAAGGAAAAUUUGCACUUUUUGUACGUGCAGCCAACCAAGAUGUUUUUCCUUGAAAAACCCUACUUCCAGCCUAAUCUAUGGCCUCAUGGGAAUACAAGUUGCAUAUUCCUAACAACAAGAUCUUUGUAUCAGCAAUUGGGCAUAAGCUCAAAGACCACCUUAUGCUUCUUCUCUAUAAAAUAACAUAUCCAGUAGCCUUCAAAUUUUCUUGGAUCAUUAGGAAAUUGUGUAAGGAAAAUUUGCACUUUUUGUACGUGCAGCCAACCAAGAUGUUUUUCCUUGAAAAAACCUACUUCCAGCCUAAUACGUAUUGACCUGACUGUGGAAGGGAUUCAAUAUAGUGUUGUAAUAGUACCUGCAGAUUAUUUGAUUGAGUUCUAGUUCACAGAUUUAUAUGUGAUUUCUCAUUUUAUGUUUACUCACUUAUCAGG